rnacentral:rRNA from 1 species
UACGUAGGGUGCGAGCGUUUAAUCGGAAUUACUGGGCGUAAAGCGUGCGCAGGCGGUUCGUUGUGUCGGCGGUGAAAGCCCCGGGCUUAACCUGGGAAUGGCCGUUGAAACUGGCGAACUGGAGUGUGGCAGAGGGGGGUGGAAUUCCGCGUGUAGCAGUGAAAUGCGUAGAGAUGCGGAGGAACACCGAUGGCGAAGGCAGCCCCCUGGGCUGACACUGACGCUCAGGCACGAAAGCGUGGGGAGCAAACAGG